rnacentral:rRNA from 1 species
GACGAACGCUGGCGGCGUGCUUAACACAUGCAAGUCGAACGGAAAGGCCCUGCGUUUGUGGGGUGCUCGAGUGGCGAACGGGUGAGUAACACGUGAGUAACCUGCCCUUGACUUUGGGAUAACUUCAGGAAACUGGGGCUAAUACCGGAUAGGAGCUCCUGAUGCAUGGUGGGGGUUGGAAAGUUUCGGCGGUUGGGGAUGGACUCGCGGCUUAUCAGCUUGUUGGUGAGGUAGUGGCUUACCAAGGCUUUGACGGGUAGCCGGCCUGAGAGGGUGACCGGCCACAUUGGGACUGAGAUACGGCCCAGACUCCUACGGGAGGCAGCAGUGGGGAAUAUUGCACAAUGGGCGGAAGCCUGAUGCAGCAACGCCGCGUGCGGGAUGACGGCCUUCGGGUUGUAAACCGCUUUCGCCUGUGACGAAGCGUGAGUGACGGUAAUGGGUAAAGAAGCACCGGCUAACUACGUG